rnacentral:snoRNA from 1 species
AGGUUGCCCCUUUGCCGAUUAAAAACCCAGGUGGCAAUGGCGGUGUUGUGCUGCUCGGAAAUUAAAUCCUCUGCUUCUGCUUCUAGAUAAAGCUGUGAGAUUGAUUCUCUAUGAAGCAGGUUUUCUAGGGCUUUAGCACAUG